GGCAAGAUGGCCGAGCGGUCUAAGGCGCUAGUUUUAGGCAUUUCCAGUCUUCUGAUUGGAUAAAUCGAUACACUAGUUCGAAAGAGCGUGGGUUCGAAUCCCACUCUUGUCA
rnacentral:tRNA from 1 species